ACGCCCCUUCCGCUCCAGGUGGCCGCGCUGGGAGCCGGACACACCUGGCAGGCGCCAGCCGGCCUCCGGGCAGCAGGUGGUACUGUGCAUCUUUCUGCUUGAGAGACAGCUAGUCUUGGGAGGGAAGGAAGUCUUCCGAGAGUAGGGGAGGCCUGAAGUAUGACUAAGAAUCAGACAGCUUGGGAGUGGAGUGUCAAUCCAAGCAGAGGGAAGACAGGGCCCAGCUCACAUACUACGUCACUUACGGAAAUUUCCCUGCUAUAAACCAGCCUUGGUGGUCUAGUGAGUAAGAUCUGGCGCUUUCUCCGCUGCAGCCUGCAUUCGUUUCCCAGUCAGAUGAAUGAACCGCACCAUCCGCCUGUCGGAUGUCACACUGUGGCAGCUGCGUGUUGCUGUGAUGCUGAAAACUCAACUAUCAGCAGGGUCACCUGUGGCGGGCAGAUUUUAGCGGAACUUCCCGAGCGAAGGAAGGUGAGAGGAUGGCGCAAACAGACCUGGCAGCCUUCAGCUCUGCUGUACACAGGGUCACUAGGAGUCGAAAUGAUUUGAAGGCACUAACAACAAAUUUACAAUAGAGAGAUUAUUUUUCCAAACUUCCAGCAUACUUGCAUUAGCGUUAUUUACACAGUCUUUCUAAAUGUGAAUGGGUGUCUUAUUUGUCCUAUAUUCUGUAUUGCUAUUAACUGUACCUGGUGGAUAUUUGGUAAGUUGUCUUUUAGGUAAUGAGAUAAAUAUUAGAUUAUCAUUGGAUAGAUCAUUGAAUUCAGUAGUUUUGAUGGUAAAAUAGGAUUUAACUUUGAACCUUUGGGAACAGACUUGCUUUUUGAAAGCUGCUUCAUAGCAGUCAUUGGGAAUAUGUGUGACCUUUCAUAGCCCACAUUAUAAGUUGAUGGAAAAAACCCAUAACAUUCAACUGUUGGCCCUGGUUUUGAUUUCCAAGUCCCGUACGUUGGUUUCCCAUAAUUGUGACCUUGUGGUAUCUCAUAAAGAUGAGAAGAACCCAACGGUCCAUAUUUGCAACUCGAGCAUCUCCAUUUGUCCUGUACAGUCCAAUUAAGAAAUUCUAUUCAUUUUUUUCUUCAGAAUGCCUCCCAUCCCAUUCCUUCCCCUCUCCCUAACAUUACUCCAAGAAUCACUUCCUUUCUGGAGCACUGCAACCUCAUCACAUCUGGCCUUCCUGACUC